AAUCAAGGAGAUAUGCGCUGAAUACUGAACAGUGUCUGGGCUGCAAGAUAAAUUUUGACUUCUCUUUUGUUGCUACAAUUUGAACUUGAAAACAACUGUUUUGAAUCUUGGACUAUUAAUGAAAGUUUUAGGCCUAUGUCUUAGCUUUCGAUC
rfam:Populus trichocarpa scaffold_304_contig_1, whole genome shotgun sequence.